CCUACGGGAGGCAGCAGUGGGGGAUAUUGCACAAUGGGGGAAACCCUGAUGCAGCGACGCCGCGUGAGUGAAGAAGUAUUUCGGUAUGUAAAGCUCUAUCAGCAGGGAAGAAAAUGACAGUACCUGACUAAGAAGCCCCGGCUAACUACGUGCCAGCAGCCGCGGUAAUACGUAGGGGGCAAGCGUUAUCCGGAUUUACUGGGUGUAAAGGGAGCGUAGACGGCAGUGCAAGUCUGAAGUGAAAUCCCAGGGCUUAACCAUGGGACUGCUGUGGAAACUGUAGAGCUGGAGUGCAGGAGGGGCAAGCGGAAUGCCUGGUGUAGCGGUGAAAUGCGUAGAUAUUAGGAGGAACACCAGCGGCGAAGGCGGCUUACUGGACCGUAACUGACGUUGAGGCUCGAAAGCGUGGGGAGCAAACAGGAUUAGAUACCCGUGUAGUC
rnacentral:rRNA from 1 species